CCUACGGGGGGCUGCAGUAAGGAAUAUUGCGCAAUGGGCGACAGCCUGACGCAGCGACGCCGCGUGGGGGAUGAAGGUCUUCGGAUUGUAAACCCCUUUCGGCAGGGAAGAUGGAACGGGUAACCGUUCGGACGGUACCUGCAGAAGCAGCCACGGCUAACUUCGUGCCAGCAGCCGCGGUAAUACGAAGGUGGCAAGCGUUGUUCGGAUGGACUGGCAGGGAGCGGAGCGUAGGGGGUAGGGUAAGCCCGAAAUCUCCGGGCCUAACCCGGAAAGUGCGGAGGGGACUGCUCGGCUAGAGGAUGGGAGAGGAGCGCGGAAUUCCCGGUGUAGCGGUGAAAUGCGUAGAGAUCGGGAGGAAGGCCGGUGGCGAAGGCGGCGCUCUGGAACAUUUCUGACGCUGAGGCUCGAAAGCGUGGGGAGCAAACAGGAUUAGAUACCCUUGUAGUC
rnacentral:rRNA from 1 species